UGUGACGGCUUCCUGAAGACUUUGAAAACUAAACAAAAGCAGGCAAAAUAGGAGAGGAAACCAGACCUUGAAGUGGGAUUGAUUCUGGUGGUCAAUUUCUAGGAGUGGAAUGGCUUGAUCAUAUACUGAAACCCGAGACCCUGCUUCAAACAUGGUUAGCCUGUUAAAGGUGUUGAAGACACAGUCGUGUCAUUUUUAAAAGACACUUAUUCUUUAAAGAAGAGAGGUAGAGGUCAGUGACUCAUCAGUCUUAAGAAAUACCCAGUGUAUUUCAAAAACAAUUUACUGUAUGUAAUUCGAGCUAAAACCAAAAGCUCCUAGAAGGAAACGAACAGGUAAAUCUUCAUGAUCUUGGCAUCAGCUGCGAAAAAUAGAGAGAUUGGAAUUCCAUCAAUAUUAAAAUCUCUUGUGCAUCAGAGACUAUUCUCAAGAAAGCCAAAGGACAGCCUAUGGAAUGGGGUAUGUCCUCCACAGGAAUACAUACAUAAGCUCAUCACAGAAUUCUUCACAGCAACAUGAGUCCUCAUAACUCAAAACUGAAAACCAAAUGUCUGUCAACAGAAACAUAGAUAAAUAACCAUAAUGACAUGUAACAAUGGGGAAGAUUGAACUGUAGCUGCGUACAAAUCAUGGGUGAAUUGUAU